GUUGGGUGCACUGGCGCACACCUGUCAUCCCAGCGGCUCCGGAGGCUGAGGCAGGAGGAUCACGUGUUCACAGCCAGCCUCAGCAAAAGCAAGGCGCUAAGCAACUCAGUGAGACCCUGUCUCUA
rnacentral:sRNA from 1 species